GAUCAAGCAGAGUGGUUUCCCAGGUCUGGACUCGCAAUCAUCAAUCAAGUCGGCUACUCAAGAUAAGAACAAAGAAAGUUUGGUUCAAAAUGGCAAUGCACAACAAGGGGAGAAAAAUGCUUUUGUACACAAUAACAUGAAAACAAACCCCCUACAGAGUGAGAAACAAAGAGUAACCGGGGUAUCAACAUCAGUCAAGG